UGAACCAAUGGAGUUGUACAUCGGCAAGGGCAAUCGGAACUGAAACUAACAUUUCAACAGCAAUUUACUGCUUUUAGUGAAAAGAUUAGUGAAACUAUUUUUUGAUGUAAAAAAAAAUUUGUAGCAGAAGUAUGUGUGUGUCUAUGUGCCUGACCAAACUGAUGGGUAAUUAUAUAUAUUGCCGCAUGUCCCAAAGCGUAAAGUUUAAGGUUUCUUCAAUGAAGUGAAACUACACAUUCGUUUGAUUUUAA